rnacentral:rRNA from 1 species
UGCGUAGGCGGAAUUUUAAGUCAGUGGUGAAAUCCUGCAGCGCGACUGUAGAACUGCCAUUGAUACUGAUCUUCUUGAAUUUAGUUGAGGUGGGCGGAACGUGUAAUGUAGCGGUGAAAUGCUUAGAUAUUACACAGAACACCGAUUGCGAAGGCAGCUCACUAAACUAACAUUGACGCUGAGGCACGAAAGCGUGGGUAGCGAACAGGAUUAGAUACCCUGGUAGUCC